UACGUAGGGUGCAAGCGUGUCCGGAAUUAUUGGGCGUAAAGAGCUCGUAGGCGGUUUGUCGCGUCUGCUGUGAAAACUGGGGGCUCAACCCCCAGCCUGCAGUGGGUACGGGCAGACUAGAGUGCGGUAGGGGAGAUUGGAAUUCCUGGUGUAGCGGUGGAAUGCGCAGAUAUCAGGAGGAACACCGAUGGCGAAGGCAGAUCUCUGGGCCGUAACUGACACUGAGGAGCGAAAGCGUGGGGAGCGAACAGG
rnacentral:rRNA from 1 species